rnacentral:rRNA from 1 species
UGGGGAAUCUUGGACAAUGGGGGCAACCCUGAUCCAGCAAUGCCGCGUGUGGGAAGAAGGCCUUCGGGUUGUAAACCACUUUUGGCGGGAAAGAAAUGCCGGAUAUUAAUACCAUCCGGUGAUGACGGUACCCGCAGAAUAAGCACCGGCUAACUACGUGCCAGCAGCCGCGGUAAUACGUAGGGUGCGAGCGUUAAUCGGAAUUACUGGGCGUAAAUCGUGCGCAGGCGGUUGGGUAAGACAGGUGUGAAAUUCCAGGGCUCAACCUGGGAACUGCAGUUGUGACUGUCCGGCUAGAGUGCGGCAGAGGGAAGUGGAAUUCCGCGUGUAGCAGUGAAAUGCGUAGAUAUGCGGAGGAACACCGAUGGCGAAGGCAACUCCCUGGGCCUGCACUGACGCUCAUGCGCGAAAGCGUGGGGAGCAAACA